GCUCUGUGCGUCGAUGAAAGAGCGGCGGCCAGCUGCGUGAAUUAAUGUGAAUUGCAGGGACACACUAGGAACAUCGACAUCUUGAACGCAUAUUGCGGCUUCCGACUCUCUGCCGGAGCCUCGCCUGUCUGAGGGUAGGCGACCAUGUAAUCGUGACAAUGUGCCGCCGCUUACACCGCGGUAGCACGUCGCGCUUUGGCGUUGUCGAGCGAGCCAGUCUCGCCCGUCCGCCUCGAGAUUUCGACCGCUCCGCGUCUCCGCUUCGGCAGUGGCGCCUGGACCGGGCUCGAUCGGGCUCUCGUCCGGCGCACGUCUGGUCGCAGUUAGCUCUGCGACCGUGACGAGCUGUCCAACAGGAAACGCAAUACGUAGCGGGCAAACGCAAGUUUGCACAAGUCGUAUGCCCGCCUAGCGAGCAGUACGCACAGCACAUCCUACCUCGGAUCAGACGAGACUACCCGCUGAAUUUAAGCAUAUCAGUAAGCGGAGGAAAAGAAACUAACAAGGAUUCCCCCAGUAACGGCGAGUGAAGCGG
rnacentral:rRNA from 1 species